rnacentral:lncRNA from 1 species
UAUUUAUGCAAAAGAACAUGAAGAAGCAAUGGAUAAUCAGCACAUGAGUAAAUUCCAGAAUAAGCCCAUGGAUGGGGACAUGUGUCUAGAGGACCGAUCACACCUACAACGUACAGAGCAAGUUCUGGCCGGGUGCAGGGGAUCCCACCUCGAAUUCCAGCACUUUGGAGACAAAGGCGGGCAAAGGCUUGAGCUUGGGAGUUCGAGACCAGCCCAGGCAACAUGGGGAUGUGGGGAGCGGGGGGGGUGCAGCUCUACAAAAAAUUAAAAAAUUAGACAUUG